rnacentral:snRNA from 1 species
AUCGCUUCUCGGCCUUUUGGCUAAGAUCAAGUGUAGUAUCUGUUCUUAUCAGUUAUAUUCCUCUUGUGUAGAGCAAUGUAAAUUCUUGGCUUAGCCUACAGUUGUUUCACCACAUAAAUCAUGCAAUGAUGACGAUUUUAU